rnacentral:misc_RNA from 1 species
ACGUAUUAUAAUGCAUUGUCCUAACCCAUCAAAUGAUUAAAAUACUAAAACCAGCUGCAGAAACCACUGUUCUCAAACCAAAACAGCCUCCAAAACCACAAAACAGAGUCUAAUAUACUAUCUAGAUGCUUCAACUCUUUGAUCCUGCUUCUUUCUCUUUAGUUCUCUUUCGCUUACAAUUCUCGAUCUUCCUUUUCACACUCCCUUUACCAAAUCUUGCCCAUAGUUUUCAAAACCAGCAGUCUUUCCUCGGCAAACCCACCUCUCGAAACUUAUAUCUAUCACCACCUCUAAUGUACCUCAAAACCAACAAUUAGGCAACUCUCUUUUUGGUAUCUUAAACCCAUCUUUCUAAAGUUUCGAUCUUUUUAACGUUUUAACAUUUGUAUUAUUACAUGGA